rnacentral:misc_RNA from 1 species
CGGCUGCGCAGCCACGUCGACCCACAUUUAUAAAUAGAGAAGGCCUCGUCUCCGUCGGGGUGACGGCGUGGUGUGUGUCACCCCAGGAAUACCACGCUCGACCGAGUGACCGACCGCGUCGCUGUGAAUGGGCCGUCGUCUCUGCGAAACGGGAAACGACCGGUUCCUCGCGUGAAAAACCGCUCGUAAACCGUUUUCACGCGCGUACUCCUAGCAACUUGUGAACUCUCCCAAGGGAAUUCAAAAGAAAAUCAUUAAAACGUCAUUCUCGGAUAUCAAAACGUUAUUACAACCGUUGACGUAAUUUACUCUUCACGCGGAAAACGAGCUGCCGUUCCGCGGACAAGAUACUUAACGCACCGUCUCGUUCACCGGACAACAAAGCUAUUUAUGCCACUUGCUCUGCGAAUAGUCCGAUUGGCCUGGCUCCAGAUGGUAUUUUUCACUUCCAUCUAGAGGCCGCAAGAGCAAAAAUUCAUGAGCGUGGUGAAACAUAUGAAAAGUUGUAUUGGUACAGGAAAAUCACCGUGGCCUCGAUGCCGGGACGAAACAUCUUCGACGUGCAGGUUACGCAACAAAUCGAUCGUUACUGUUGCUGCAAGUAUGCAAUAAAUUUCCUCCAAAUAUACAAUCAACAAAGACCAUCAAAAAUUAUUCGUUACAGCUCGAUGGAAGGUUAAAAAUAAAUAAAAUCCACAAUCGACUGAGAUCGAUAUUUGAACGACAGCAACGCGUGUAAAGAUCCGUGGCACGAUCGAAGCGUGUGCACGCCGCUUUUGUUGCACGCCUAAUGCCGCGCGGUGUCUAAUAAUGUAGCAAGGCCGUUCUUCUCGCUGUACCAUGAAUGCCGGCUCGUUACGACACGUUCCGUUGCUCGAAACUCGAGGAACGUCGACAGACGGCCUAACGUGUCCUCGUGACGCGUCGAUAAAUCAGCUUCACGAGCUUUGUCAGGACGCGCGACCAAGCUGACUCUCAUUGUCUUUUAUUACAAGCAGACAGAGGGAAUAUGAAAAUUCUGAGGAACACGCGACGCGGCCGAAAUCGCUGUGAAACACGGCCACUGCGGAAACACGCGGAAGAUGAACGUUGUUUGGCGCGCAGACACGUAAUGUGCUGUGAGCUUACAUUAUGUGGCGCGUCGAGGUGCUUGAGUAAAAGUAUCUAAACGCAAAUUGAAUGUUGUGACCAUAAUUGGAACCGAUUGAAACUCUAUGAAAAGAAACGUUUCGAUCGUAUCGGCGAUUUAAUAUCGCUACGUUCGAAGAAUACUUUCACUGGAUGCCACAAUAGAUAGAAAAAUGACAAUAGCGAUCGUAGAAGCGCGAAAUCUCGACACAGUUACAGGCGACCGACGACUCUUGUUUUACAUUAAAAGAACCGCUAACCGAUUUGUAACGAUGGAUCGGUAAAUACACUACUAAUUAACGUACGCUGUCAUGUAAAACGACAAUAGCUUUUUACAAUAGUUUCUUCACUUUCACAAUUCGUGUGAUAACAAGCAUGAACGACAAGCAAAUAGUAUUCUACCAUGAUUCAUUUGGAAAGUAGAAACUAUGCAUUAAACUAUGUCGACCAUAGUUGAACUUCGCAAACGAAAGUCUAUUCUCUUGUUUCGGUUUAUCCUUAAUUUAUCUUAUUAAUUUAAUAAACAUCAAUUUUGUUUUAAUGGUACUGUUACAGGACAUACGAAAAAAGGUAUAAGAAUUACUGACAGUUUGAAUUUUAAAUCUUUUUGAGUAAUAUAUUUAACAAUAUUAAAUAUUAUGUAAAUAGGAAAUAAAGAUAUUAUAAAUAUAUGAAAUCAUAGAAAUUAAAAAGAAAUUAAUUACACAGGGAAUAAUAAUUUAACAAUAAUUUGCCGUACCCGAUCAUCGUAUAGUCCAUUGCUUCUAAACGUUAUGUAACAUUUGAUUGAAUUAACUGAAAGAAAAACGACGGAUGUACGUAGUGAUGCUGACCGUGAACUAACGAAGCCGGGCGUUACGCGUUAUUACUCAAGUUCACGGGUCAAAGUUCGAACGACUAUGCGUGAGUUUCGUGUAUGUCGGUCAUGAAUGUUUAUACCUAUGUCGCUUGGCCACGGAACAAUUGACCCCAAUAUAUAGGUCGCUUUCCACCAAUCAACGUAUAUUUCCCUCAUAUUACUUCCACA